GUACACGCUGUGACUAGCAUAUCAAUAAGCGGAGGAAAAGAAACUAACAAGGAUUCCCCUAGUAACGGCGAGUGAAGCGGGAAGAGCUCAAAUUUGAAAUCUUAAAGGGUUUCCCUUUACGAAUUGUAGUUUAAAGAAGUGUUUUCUGUUGAGGUUUUGGUAAAAGUUCUUUGGAAUAGGACAUCAUAGAGGGUGAGAAUCCCGUAUUUGACCUUUACUUUCAACUUUGUGAUACACUUUCAAAGAGUCGGAUUGUUUGGGAAUGCAGUCCUAAAAUGGGUGGUAAAUUUCAUCUAAAGCUAAAUAUUGGCGAGAGACCGAUAGCGAACAAGUACCGUGAGGGAAAGAUGAAAAGAACUUUGAAAGGAGAGUUAAACAGUACGUGAAAUUGUCAAAAGGGAAGCGUUUGACACCAGUGUUGUUUUUCUGAAAAUCAAUUAAAGAACUGUUUAUGCUAAGCUGUUUAGACUUUAUCAGCUAUCUGUUUAGUUUUGAGCUUUUCUUUAAUGCACUUUUCAGUUAACAAGUCAACAUCAAUUUCUUUUGCUGUAAAAAAGCUUGAGGAAGGUGGCUUGAGAUUCGUCUUAAGUGUUUAUAGCCUCUUGCCUAUGCAGUCGGAGAGAUUGAGGUCUGCAGCGUAGAUCCUUCGGGGCUAAAUGCAUUUGUGCUAAGUUAUAACAUUUUAUAGACAACUUGUUGACUAUGAUUUGUCUUGUAGCUUACUCGCUUAUGUUAUUUUACCUACGCUUAGGAUGUUGACGCGCGUGUGUGCGUG
rnacentral:rRNA from 1 species